GGAAAGAAAGGCAUUGUGGUCUCUGUGGUUUGGUGACAAUGAAAUAAAGCCAAACGACAUGUUGUAGGAGUAUUAUUGGAACAGCAAACAACUGGCGCUCGCGUGUGAAUCCAGUCCGUUCAUCUGCGCGCGCCGCCUGGUGUCUUCCAAAGGCGCGAGCGCUUUAAGCGACUCUGGGACACAUUUUGUCAGCAACCAGCAAGCAUGGCUCUGUGGUAAUAGAAUAGCCCGUGUAAUUUGACACUUCAACUUGCCAUGCACUACGUUAGUUGAUUCAGACAGUCACACUAACGAAACGCCGUGCGCUUUUCUCUCACUGUUUGUGAAGUGUGAGGAGAGAAAACAGAUCGCAACUUCAAAUCCAGGAGAUUUUCGGCGCAGUGCUGUGAUUGGACCUGAAAGUGCGGUGGACCCUAGUGUAGACGGGAGCUUGCAGAGGGACCUUCCCCACGGACUAUAUGAAGGGAAGGGAGGGGAGGGGGAGGGGGGGCUGCUGACGUUACUCCCAGCUUGCAGAACACACAGAGACAAGAACUUUAAUGGCUUCCAGGUAGAGAGAAAGAGGCAGCAGUCAAGAUGAACUCGAUUCCUUCGAUGGACAGGCACAUACAGCAGACCAAUGACAGGCUGCUGUGCAUCAAACAGCACUUACAGAAUCCGGCCAAUUUCCAGACAGCGGCCACGGAGCUACUGGACUGGUGUGGAGACCCACGAGCCUUCCAGCGGCCAUUUGAGCAAAGCCUUAUGGGAUGCUUGACGGUUGUAAGUCGUGUGGCAGCACAGCAGGGUUUUGACUUGGACCUCGGCUAUCGGCUCCUGGCCGUGUGUGCGGCAAACCGCGACAAGUUCACCCCUAAGUCGGCAGAAACCACCACCUGCAGGAGAUGUCAGAGUGACACAGCUCUCCUGUCGUCCUGGUGCGAGGAGCUGGGACGGCUGCUCUUGUUGCGGCAUCAGAAGAAUCGUCAGAGCGAUCCACCGGGCAAAGUACCCUUGCAGCCACCCAUGAACUCCAUGAAGCCCUCGCUCUCACAUGGUGAUGGGUCCUUUCCAUAUGACAGUGUUCCCUGGCAACAAAACGCUAACCAGGCCCCGGGUUCACUGUCGGUAGUUACGACGGUGUGGGGAGUUACCAAUACAUCACAAAGUCAGGUCUUGGGUAACCCCAUGGCCAAUACUAACAAUCCCAUGAACCCUGGAGGCAAUACACUAGGGACGAGUAUGUCAGGCAACAACCCAGGGAUCAACUCACCUCAGUUCCCUGGCCAACAACAACAGUUUUCAGCCAAAGGGGGAUCCAACCAGGCCUACAUGCAGCAAAGCAUGUAUGGGCGUCCAGGGCACCCGGGAGGAGGAGGCUUUGGUGGAAGUUACCCAGGUGGGCCAAAUGCUCCGGGUGGCAUAGGCAUGCCCCCCCAUACACGACCGCCCUCUGAUUUCACCCAACCUGCUGCUGCUGCCGCCGCCGCCGCCGUCGCUGCUGCCGCCGCCACCGCAACAGCUACUGCCACAGCAACCGUGGCAGCCCUGCAAGAGACCAAUAAAGACAUGAACCAGUAUAACCAGGUCUGCUCCUCUUUCCAGAUGGGGCCUACGCAAGGCUACAAUAACCAGUUCAUGAACCAGCCAGGGCCCCGUGGACCCCCGUCCAUGGCUGGAGGCAUGAACCCAGCUGGUAUGGGUGGUGGCAUGAAUAGCUCCAACAUGAGUGGCCCACCAAUGGGUAUGAACCAGCCCAGAGGCCCAGGAAUGGGGCCCUUCGGUGGCCACGGCCAAAGGAUGCCUCAACAGGGUUACCCUGGACCCAGACCUCAGUCCAUGCCCAUGCAGGGCACCAAGAGGCACUAUCCAGGAGAGCCUAAUUAUGGAGGCCAGCAGUUUGGACCCAACGGCCAGUUUCCCAACCAGCAAGGGCAGUACCCUAACCCAAACGCUUCUAGAGCCCUUCCUUCACCCAAUUACCCUGGCCAAAGGAUGCCAGGACAACAGGGCUCUGGCCAGUACCCCCCUACUGGGGUAGCCAUGGGCCAAUACUAUAAGCAAGAGCCAUUUAAUGGUCAGAACAACAAUUUCUCUGGUGGUGGUUAUGGGUAUAGUCAAGGAAAUGGGCCUCCUCGGCAGGUGGUGAACUACCCACACUCGCCAGUUCCUGGGAACCCCACGCCACCCAUGACCCCUGGAAGUAGUAUACCAUACAUGUCGCCCAGUCAAGAUGUCAAGCCCCCGUUUCCUCCAGACAUGAAGCCAAACAUGACGUCUUUGCCUCCACCUCCAACCAACCCCAAUGAGGAGCUGCGUUUGACGUUCCCAGUGAGAGACGGAGUGGUGCUGGAGCCCUUUAGAUUAGAGCACAACCUGGCCGUCAGUAACCACGUCUUCCAUCUGCGCCCCUCCGUCCACCAGACGCUUAUGUGGAGAUCUGAUCUGGAGCUGCAGUUUAAGUGCUAUCAUCAUGAGGACCGACAAAUGAACACCAAUUGGCCCGCAUCCGUCCAAGUCAGCGUCAAUGCCACCCCCCUCACUAUUGAGAGGGGCGACAAUAAAACAUCCCACAAACCCCUGCAUCUAAAGCAUGUGUGUCAGCCAGGGAGAAACACCAUCCAGAUUACGGUCACAGCCUGCUGUUGUUCGCACUUGUUCGUGCUGCAGCUGGUCCAUAGGCCUUCGGUGCGAUCGGUCCUGCAAGGGCUCCUCAAGAAGAGGCUCCUUCCUGCCGAACAUUGCAUUACCAAAAUUAAAAGAAACUUCAGUAGCGUAGCAGCGUCCUCUGGGAAUGCCACACUAAAUGGAGAGGAUGGAGUAGAGCAGACAGCCAUCAAAGUGUCCCUCAAGUGUCCAAUCACAUUCCGACGGAUCCAGCUCCCUGCUAGGGGACAUGACUGCAAACACGUGCAGUGCUUUGACUUAGAGUCCUAUCUUCAGCUCAACUGUGAGAGAGGAACGUGGAGAUGUCCUGUAUGCAAUAAAACAGCAUUAUUGGAAGGGCUGGAGGUGGAUCAGUACAUGUGGGGAAUUCUCAAUGCGAUCCAAAAUUCGGAGUUUGAAGAGGUCACCAUCGACCCUACGUGUAGUUGGAGGCCGGUGCCCAUAAAGUCAGACAUUCAUAUAAAGGAGGACCCAGAUGGCCCUCUGGCCAAGCGUUUUAAGACCAUGAGUCCCAGUCAAAUGAUCAUGCCUAAUGUGUUGGAUAUGAUCGCCCAGCUGGGUCCCGGCCCUUCACCCUACACCCCCCUCCCCCCUCAGCACGGAGGAAAUAAUGGCGAAUAUGGGGGCCAUGGUAGAGGCAAUAGUUAUCAGGGCCAUGGAAACUUUGACUUCUCCCACAGUAACUCUGGUGGCGGAACUCCCAUGAAUGACUUCAUGCAUGGACCCCAGCUCUCACAUCCUCCAGACAUGCCCAGCAGCCUCAUGGGCCCUGACAAGCCUCUCGCCCACGGCAUGCCCGACUCGAUGCCCCGUCCUGUGAGCGCUGAUCAAUCCCAUGCUUCCAUGCAGCCAGGCAUGCACGCAUCCCCUCACCCCAACAGCCAAUCAGCUCAGCCAUUGCAUCACAGCGGCCCCCCAUCCUCCCAGCACCCACGCCAGCCCCCGCCCCCCCAGCAGCCAGGCCAAAACAGUCACCCACAUGCCGAAAUGACCUUCAACCCCGCCGCUGAUGGGCAGGCAGGUGGCCAGGGACCUGCAGACAUGCCCGAGCCUUCUCUGGAUCUUCUGCCAGAACUGGCGAACCCAGACGAGUUGCUGUCAUACUUAGACCCUCCUGACCUCCCAAGCAGCAGCAAUGACGAUCUGCUUUCCCUUUUUGAGAACAACUGACUUCUUUCAGUCGGCCUUUUGCAGAGGCCCUAAUUUGUUUGGCUGUCAGGAAUCGAGAGGCACCUGAAGACUGACUCUGUACUUUGCAAACAGGAAACAGCCAUCCUUUUGCCUCUUCCUCGU
ensembl:lncRNA